rnacentral:rRNA from 1 species
GCGUAGGCGGUUUUUUAAGUGAGGCGUGAAAGCCCUGGGCUUAACCCAGGAGGUGCGUUUCAGACUGAAAGACUUGAGUGCGAGAGAGGAAAGUGGAAUUCCUAGUGUAGAGGUGAAAUUCGUAGAUAUUAGGAAGAACACCAGUGGAGAAGGCGGCUUUCUGGCUCGCAACUGACGCUGAGGCACGAAAGCGUGGGGAGCAAACAGGAUUAGAUACCCUGGUAGUCCACGCUGUAAACGAAAUGUGCUAGACGUUGGGGGGGAACCUUCAGUGUCGCAGCUAACGC